GAUGAACGCUGGCGGCGUGCCUAAUACACGCUAGUCGAGCGAACAGACGAGGAGCUUGCUCCUCUGACGUUAGCGGCGGACGGGUGAGUAACACGUGGAUAACCUACCUAUACGACUGGGAUAACUUCGGGACACCGGAGCUAAUACCGGAUAAUAUAUUGAACCGCAUGGUUCAAUAGUGACAGACGGUUUUGCUGUCACUUAUAGAUGGAUCCGCGCCGCAUUAGCUAGUUGGUAAGGUAACGGCUUACCAAGGCAACGAUGCGUAGCCGACCUGAGAGGGUGAUCGGCCACACUGGAACUGAGACACGGUCCAGACUCCUACGGGAGGCAGCAGUAGGGAAUCUUCCGCAAUGGGCGAAAGCCUGACGGAGCAACGCCGCGUGAGUGAUGAAGGUCUUCGGAUCGUAAAACUCUGUUAUUAGGGAAGAACAAAUGUGUAAGUAACUAUGCACGUCUUGACGGUACCUAAUCAGAAAGCCACGGCUAACUACGUG
rnacentral:rRNA from 1 species